AGUGGAAUGAAUUACAAUUCUUAUUACACAUAUAAAGCACAUUUUUUCAUAUCUCUGGUUGUAUACAAAGUGUAUUCACACCAAUUCGUGUGUUCAUACAUGUACUUCGGAUAAUAAUGAUCAUCAUGUUCCACCAUCAUUUCUAACCCCAUGCCCCCUCCCUUCCCCUCCAACCCCUCUGCCCUAUCUAGAGUUCAUCUAUUCCUAUACACGAUGGAAUAUUACUCAGCAAUAAAAGAGAAUAAAAUCAUGGCAUUUGCAGGUAAAUGGAUAGAGUUAGAGAAGAUAAUGCUAAGUGAAGUUAGCCAAUCCCAAAUAAGCAAAUGACUAAUAUUUUCUUUGAUAUUAGAGGUGCAUUUCGCACCCUAGUCCAGCAGAAUAUUCAUGUGUGGUGUCCUGAGAACUUUGCCAAUUUUGAUUUAAUUGCUUAUGGGAAAGCACAUUUUUAAGUCCCCAAAAAUCAACUGAAAAUUAACUUUUAAAGCUGUUAUAACACAAGCCCAUGAGAACUGCUCAGAUUAGAAACAUAGAUCAGUGGUUUUCAAGCUCCAUGUUAUGGGCAUAUAAUUGUCAUUGUGAGACUUGUUAUAAGCCAUUUGUUACAAAUUACAAAGUUACCAAGUUUGUCAACAAAUUCAUUUUUCUUUUUUUAAUGAAGUAGCACAGAUUGAAGACUCCCUAUAAUGCCAUUCAAGGAGAUCUCUCUUGACUAGAAGAAAAAAAGGCAGUGCUCCA
rnacentral:lncRNA from 1 species